rnacentral:lncRNA from 1 species
UUCAGCCAGCAGUAUCUGUUGGAAAUGUUGGCCAGCUUGCAAUAGAUUUGAUUAUUUCUACACUGAAUAUGUGUAAGAUUGGUUACUUCUAUACUGAUUGUCUUGUGCCAAUGGUUGGAAACAAUCCAUAUGCAACUGCAGAAGAAAAUUCAACAGAACUCAGUAUAAAUGCUGAAGGUAUGUAAGGUUUUGCAUGUUUUAUUCUCUUACAAGGAAGAGUUGUUUUAAAUCAGAAAUAGAUUCAAUGGAUAUUGUUUUAUAGCAUAUAUUUAUUUAGUGCCAGUUUUGUGCAGUAUUUAUGACCUGGUCAUAUUGUCCUAUUGUACAUCAUGGUUUUAGUUCUUAGUCUUUUCUAAAUGGCAGCUCCUAAGAUGACUGUACUUAUAUUUUUUACUAGAAUUUGAGAUUUCCUUUUUUUUUAACAUAAAGGUUUUUUGUCCUUCUUUUAUCCUCAGUUUUAAUUUCUGAUCUUUCUGGCAAGUAUAAGCACCACUAAUACUAGAGAAAGGGGUAAAGAGAAUUCCACCGAGCUCAGUCCUGUAUGUUUAACAUGUGCUACCUUACGUAGGCCUGAUAGUUAUCCUCUCAUGUUAUUAUAGAAUCCAUAAUAAUAUAAUAUUGAUAAGGCUCAGAGAAUUGAGUUGCCUAAUACUACUAGUAGACAUAGGCUUUUACCAUGCCAUAAAUCUCCAUAAUUCCUCAUUGCACUGUCAUGUUUGUUUUAAUUGGGGAACACAGUUGACAUUGCCGUGACCACUGUGUUUAUAGUACAGAACUGCUCUGAGUGAGUGGGGGAAAGCUAUUGAUCAUGAAGCACAGGAGCACCCACUUGCUUCGUUUGAUGACAAGGUGCUCUGUUGGCUUCUCAGUGUUCUGUUUACCAUAAGACUGAAUUCAGCUAUUGCCUUAAAGGAUAAAGUACUAGAAAUAGUAGAACUAGAAUUUAUAUACUUCCACUAAUGAUAACAACUAUCAUUUUAUAUGAGCUGAGCACUGUGUGCAUUAAUACUCUUUACAUGUAUUAAUCCAUUUAAUCCUCACAACUACUCUAUAAGUAGUCUUAUAGAUGAGGAAACCAUUGUACAAAGAAGUUAAGGUCACAUGACUAAUAAUUGGUGUACCUGAGUUUCUAAUCAAGGCUCUGGCCCCUGAGACCUGUUUCUUAAGCACCACACCACCCUGAUGGACCUUCACACUAGUGGAAGACCCACUGGCUUUUCUCUGACACAAACUCACAACAAGUCAAUUGGCUAUGUCCUUUAAUCUACUUUAUCUAUUUUUAAGAUGAGGUAUUUUGAAAUAAAUUAUAGAUAUCAUGACAUUCCACCUCUAAAUACGUAUUUGUCUUUUUAAAGAACGUUUUCUUUAUAGCUAAAAUACUAUCACAUUUAACAAAAUUAGUAAUUUCUUAAUAUCUUAACUAUACCCUAUCCAUAUUCAGACUGUUCCAGUUUACCCCAAAAUGUCCUUCAAAGUUAGUUUGUCUAAACCAAGACCCACUAGGGGCACCUGGGUGGCUCUGUUGGUUAAGCACAGAGCCUGGAGCCUGUUUUGAAUUCUGUGUCUCCCUACUGCCCCCCGCUCACACACUGUCUCUCUUUCUCUCUUUCAAAAAUAAAUAAACAUUAAAAAAUAAUAAUAAAAAAAUAAACUAAGACCCACCAUAGUACUUCUGAUUGUUAUGCCUCGGAAACUUUUUACUGUAGAGCAGUCUCUUUUUUUUUUUAAUCCCUUCAUGAAACUAAUUUAUUGAGGAAACAACUAGAUCCAUUGUCCUAUUGAAUGUCCUAUCUUCUGCAUAUGUCUUAUAACUUCCUUGUAGUGUCAUUUAUCUUGGUCCCCUAGUGUCUGUAUUUUCUGUAACUUCUUAGAUCUAAAGCCUUGAUUAGAUAAAAGCUACAUAUUUUAUACCAGAAAACAUGAAAGGUGAUGUUGCUUUUGUAUUGUAUCACCUCAGAAGAGAAAAGUAAUGGGAAGCAGGAUCUUAAAAAAGAUUUUCCUGAUACACUGAUGAUGAAUAUGAGUGCUAAUAUUGUAGGAGGUGGUAUGUCUUACAUUUUGCUCACUCCCUACAGAUGUAUCCUCUUCCCAUUAAGUCUGUUGAAUUGCACUAAAUGUGCACAUCAGAGAUAGAUUACAGGCCUAAGUGGCUCAUGUUUUAGUCCCUUUCCCCUAAAUUUGUGCUCUUUUCCCUAAUUCCUAAAUUUCUGCUCUUACCUCCUUUGUCCUGAAAAUACCUGGAGGUCAUUAGGCUUGCUGCUUCAGCAUAGCCCCUAGUCACUACCCCAGUCCAACACUCCCCAAAAGAGCUAUAGCUGGAGAGACAUGAUCUGCCAAAGGAUUUACUGGAGUCUGGGUUAUUUGUAAAUUAUUUUACAGUAACUAAAAUUUUACUCUUUAGCACAGUGGCCUAAUCAUGCCUCUAAGAAACUCCAUAUUUUGUCCUUGGUUCUCAUUCUCAGAGGUGAGGUUGGGCAGGGACAUGUUAAGCGUCAGUACAGUAGGCCCCCUUGUAGAAUGUGAGUGAAGGUUGUGGAUCCUUUUCCUUGAAGAAGAGCACACACCUUGACUCAGAAAAUUUUACAUAUUAUCUUGCAUGUUAUCUUUCAAAAACUUCUAAAGAACACAAAUGUACCUAUUCCAGGGAUUUUAUUAUAUGGCUAACAUUCUCUUGCAUUUUAUUCCUUCUCUAAAUCCCAAUGAGUGUUGCUCUUCUCCAGAGAGAAGAGGGGAGCAUAACUUUUUUUUUUUUAAAGAGAGAGAGAGAGAGAGAGCAGGGGUGCCUGGGUGGCUCAGUCGGUUAAGCGUCUGACUUAGGCUCAGGUCGUGGUCUUACGGUCCAUGAGUUUGAGCCCGGUGUCAGGCUCUCCUGAUAGCUGAGAGCCUGGAGCCUGCUUCAGAUUCUUUGUCUCCCUUUCUCUUUGCCUUUCCCCUGUUCUCACUCUGUCUCUCUCUCUCUUUCUUUUUCUCAAAAAUAAAUAAACAUUUAAAAAAAAAAAAAAAAAGCAUGUGUGAGGGAUAGGGGCAGAGGGAGAGAGAGAAUCCUAAGCAGGCUCCCACUCAGCACAGAGCCUGACAUGGGGUUCGAUCUUACAACCCUGGGAUCAUGACCAGAGCCAAAAUCAAGAGUUGGAUACUCAACCAACUAAGCCACCCAAGUGCCCCUUUUUGUUUUUUGUUAGUUUUUAGCUAAGAACAUUCUUUUUUAUGUUUUAUUUAUUUUUUUGAGAGAUUGUGCAGGUGGGGGGGGGGGGCGGGCAGAGAGAGAGAGAAGGAUAGAGGAUCCGAAGCAGGCUCUGCGCUGACAGGCUGACAGCAGAGAGCCCAAUGUGGGGCUCGAACUCACAAACUGUGAGAUCAUGACCUGAGCCAAAGUAAGACACUCAACCGACUGAGCCACCCAGGCACCCCUUAAAUAAAAACAUUCUUAAGAAUGAUUUCAUGUAUCAUAACACCAGAAGUUUCUGGGGAAUUCUUCCCUGAUUCUACAAUCACAGUCAGAAGAAAUAUAAUUUUAUAUUUUCUUAACAGUUAACCUUUCAGAAAUGAAUCUGUUUAUUGAAUAAAGCCCACAGGUGCAUUUUAAGGUACUUCUAAAAUGUUCUAUUUUAACUGAAUGAUAUAGUUCAUAUGUUUUAUAUUUAAUUAUUGAAAAUAUUAGGUAUAAAAGUUCUUACAAUUCAAUAUUAGUUUUUAUGUUAGUAAUUUCACUUGUAUAACUCCAUCAUUUUAACUCUCAUGAUUUCAUUUUCUUUUUGUCUUUGUAGUAUAUUCAUUGCCUUCAAAGAAACUAGUGGCUCUUCAGUUAAGAUCCAUUUUUAUUAAGGUUAGUAUAUUUGUCUUUUUAAGUUGAUUGAAGUGAAAUGUAAUGAGAAAAUACUAAGUAUUAUUAAGAAUUAAGAUUCAAAACUCAGUUCUGCUCUUUUUACUGUAUGUACGGUUAAGAAAAGUCUGAUUCUAUAGAGAACCAAUCUUAGAAUAGGUGUUACCAUCAUUUACUGAUUGAUUAUAUUGAAAGGAAAUGAGGCAUACUGUUUGGAUCUUAUAUAUUCCCAAUUUAGGUAACAUGGGUGAAAACAUUUAAACAAAUGAAUAUUUUGGAUUUAGUCCAUUUGUAUUACAUUUCAACCAGUGACAUCUACAUAUAAAUUAUGUACAUGUCAAAAUAAAUUCUGAAUCUAACUUCUUUCCUCUUCCACCACUACCACUCUUGUCCAAAUCACUGCCUUCUCUCCUACCCCUAAUUCUAUUCUUGCUCUGCCCACUUCCAUAAAUACCUAAUUGUCUGCAGAUAGCACCACCAGUUAUCCUUUAAACCUAAAUCAAAUCCAUCACUUCUCUUUUCAGACCCUCUGGUGGUUUCUUGUUUUCAUCCCAGUGAACUCCCAGCCCUUACUGUGACUUAUUAGGCUCUACCUCUGUGCUGGUAUGGUAGCCACUAUCCACAUGUAGCUAUUUAAAUUUUGAUUUAUAAACUAAAAUAAAAUUAAAAAUUCAGUUCCUGCUUCACACUAGACACAUUUGAAGUUCUCCAUAGCCAUGUGUGGCAAGCAGCUGCCAUAAAGAGCACUUCCAUUAUCACAGAGAGUUCUCUUGGACAACUGCUUUACUUAAUCGAACUUAGAGCCAUUCCUGUUUGCUCAUUAAUAGUUUCCCUCUUUCAUUAACCCUGCUUUAGCCACACUGGUCUCCCUGUGUUGUUCAGACAGAUUAAGCUCACUCCCAUCUCAGAGUCUUUACAUUAUUUUCUCUGCCUGGAAUACUUUUCUUCUAGAUACCUAAAUGGUUUACUUCCUUCAGUCCUUGCUUAAAUGCUGCCUCAUCAGAAAGGCCUCCCCUGACUACCCUAUUGUCUUAUCCUGGGGUGGUUUUCUUCACAAUUCAUCACUACUUAGAGUAUCAUAUAUUUGUUUAUUAUCUACCUCUAAUAUAAAGUAAGUAUUCUGAGAGAAGUGACAGUGUAUCACUCACUUUCAUAUCCCCAGCUUCUAGAAAAGUAUGUAGCAUGUAGAGGAGCUCUUAGUAAAUGUUGGUUGAGUCGAUUAAGGUACCAUCUGUUAAGAAGGUCAGAAAAUUAUCAGCUUUCUGUUGCCUCUCCCGCAUACUCCAUCUUAGUUAUAUUAUUAUGUAAAUGGAAUCUCAUGGCAUGUACUUUAUGUCUAGCUUCCUUUACUCAACAUUCUGUUAGUGAGGUCCAUCCAUGUAGUUCGAAGGAGAGGUCGUUUGUUCAUUCUCACCUCUAUGUGGGAUUCUGUUGUAUAAAUAAGCCAUAAUUUAUCCAAUGUACUGUUAAUGGAAUGUUAGGUUUUUUUCUAGUUUGAGACAACUGUGAAUAGUGCUAUGAUUAUUUUAAUAUUCAUAUUAGAUCCACUCUUUACUUUCUUUAGUUAACAAUACCAUACCCAAAGUUUUGCAGUGAGAGUUGCUAAUAUUUUUCCAUUAUGCUAUGUGGCUUUUUCUGUUCUCUUCCUAAUACCAGUGUAAGUUCAAGAAUUAAGAAAGACAAACAUGUCUGAAUGAAAUUUUUGGUAGAUGGGAAUAGUGAUUUCAAAAUAGCUAACAUUUAUUGAGCAUUGAUUUCUUCACACCAAUAUGGCUGUGAGUACUUUAUAUAUAUAUUACUCUACACAAGCAUCUCAACAGUGUGACAAAGCAGGUAUUAACAUUAUCCUCAUUUGUAAAAUGAGAUUUCAGAAAACUGAAACACAGUUUUUUAAUUUAAUCAGGCUGUACCAUCUCCCUAGUUGAAGAACUAGCUAUUUCUUAUCUGCAUUUUAAAUUUUAUUGAAUAAUUAUUUAAUAGCGGUCUGUGAGAAGAAUUUCCAUAAAGUAAUUUUCCCCCCAAAAUUGUAUAAUCCACUUCCCAGAUUAACCAACUGUUAAUAUCUUGCCAUACCUGCUUGAUUCUCUCUCUCUGCAUGUGCAUGCAGUUUCCUUCUGCCAAAUAAUUCAAAAGUAGGCUGGUGAUGUUAUGAUAUUUUACCCAUAAAUAGUUCAGCAUGUAUCUCUCCUUCAUGACAUUCUCCUUCACAACCACAGCAGCAUUAUCACACCUAAGAAAAUCAGCUCUUAAUGAAUUAUUCAGUAGUAUCAUAAGACAUAUUCAAAUUUUCCCAAUUGUCCCCAAAAUAUUCUUCAGUUUUGGAACCUUCAAUCAAGGUUCACAUGUUACAUUUGGCUGUAACGUCUUUUUAGUUGUUAGCCUUUGACGUAGAAGUGGCCUCCUUUUUCUGUUCUUCAUAGUAUUCACUCUUCGAGGAUUCAUGCCAGAUGUUCAGCAUCCUAGAUUCACCUAAUCAUUUCCUGAUCAGAUUCAGGUCAGAAAUUUCUAGCAAGAAGAUCUCAUAGAUGACCAUGUGAUAGUUUUUAUAGAUGACCAUGUGAUAGUUUUUAAGUAACAAUAGAUUAAGUAGAGAACUGGGAAAUUUUCCUUUGUCCAUCAGCAUAGAAUUUUUUUGAAACUAGAUUUCUUGUGAUUUAUUUCUUAAUUGUAAAGCUACAAUAAACAAUUCAUUGCUCUUCGUCUCUCACCUUCAGUUUAAGGACAGGAAAGUAGAAGUAAAAAUAAUUAUAAUUUUAAUACAUAAAUUAUCAUCACAUAAAGCUAAUAAAAUAUUUUAUAUAAUACUCUUAUUAUAUGCUAAGAUCUAACUUUGAGACUUUCUUUUUAUUCUUUCAAUGGUAUACGAAGUAUAAAUCAAAGCCAUUCUGUGAAAAACUGCUUUCCUGGGUGAAAAGUAGUAACUGUGCCAAAGUUAUUGUUCUUUCAAGCAGUCAUUCAUAUCACCGUAAUGACCUACAGCUUCGCAGGUAUGCUUUUGCCUUUGAAAAGUUUUGUUUUAAUUUAUGCAAUAUUAUGAUGGUGUCUCUAUUAAAAAGCUAAAAUAAGUUUUAAAAGUUAUGUAUAUUUUUACCUCCCCUCUCUGGAAUUUAGAAAGAUGAUAAAGUCAGGAGAUAGGAGGGAGUAUGGUUAGUAGUGUUAUGGUUGAGGCAGAAGGAAGGCUUUGGUGUAAAGAUAUAGAUUGUUCUGGAACUGUGCUUCGGUUGUUUGGUAUGGUGUGUGGUGACAUUACAGAGCUGAGCUGAUAAAGAGAAAGAGGAGAGAUUCAUUGGAUGAUUUUUGGAAAAUUGAAUUCGUAUUUCUAUUUAUUCAGUCAUUGCAGAAAUCCAGUUGCCUCUAAGUAUAAAUCAGGUAUGUCACACUGAAUUCCUAAAUAUAAGGCAAAGUAUCCAAGAGAUAGAAAUAUAAACUAUUUCAUUAUCAUUUCCGCACCUAUAAAAUCAUGAUGAAAAGCAUUAGCCAAGACUAACCUUUCAAAACUGGAGCUAAUUUCUAGGAAUCUCACAAUAAACAUACAAUUCUAGGAAUCUCACAAAAGUCCUCUUGGCCAGAAGGGAGCAUAGCUUGUGGGAAAUUGAUUAUCUUCAUGCUGACCUUGCCUUAGUUUAAGUUGGUCUGGGUCCUUAUGCUCUCUCCUAAGUGUGUAAAUAGCAAGCCAGAGCAAUAUUUUUAUAUGCUAUUCUUCCGUAGACUGCUGAAACUUGUGCUUUGCUUUUGCAACAAAAUACACAUGGAACAAAUAGUAUUUGCUAAAAGAACUGAUACUUGCCUUAAUGUUCAAAUUUAUUAUGUUUUUAAAAACUGAAUUAUAUGAUUGCUUCUAGUACUCCCUUCAGAUACCUGCUUACACCUUUCUUGCAAAAAACUGUUCAAAAUAAAAUAAAGAGCCUGAACUGGGAAGAAAUGGAAAAAAGCCCAUGCAUUCCUGAAAUAGAUGAUUCUGAGUUUUGUAUCCGUAUUCCUGGAGGAGGUAUCACAAAAAUACUCUAUGAUGAAGGGUGAGUUUGUCUGUUUGUUCAUUUGUUCCCCCACCUUAUUUAAAAAUGAAAGUAGGAAGGGCUGGCUCAGGCCGUAGAAUGUGUGACUCUUUGAUCUCUGGGGUCACCAGUUCAAGGCUCACAUUGGGUGUGGAGCCUACUUAAAAAUAAUGAAAGUAAGAUAAGUGGGAGAGUGUGUUGGAUUACUUAUCAGAACUUUGAGAAUAUGUUUAUAUAUUUACACAUCACAUAAUUUAAGUGUGGUAAAAUAUACGUAACAUUAAAUUUAACCAUUUUUAAGUGUACAAUUAAGUGGCAUUAAUGCAUUUACGGUGUUGUAUAUCCAUCACCAUCUGUCCACUUUCAGAACUUUGUCAUCGUUCUAAACAGAGAAUCUGUACUCAUUAAAUAAUAACUCCUACUUAUUUCUGCAAAGCCCAUACUAAUAUCCUCACUUUCAUUUCUGAUUUUAGUAAUUUGAGUUUUCUUUUAUUCUUAGUAAAUUUUGUUGAUCUUUUCAAAUAACUACUUUUGGUUUUAUUGAUUUUCUCUAUUGUUUUUCUGUUUUCUAUUUAUCUCCACUCUAAUCUUCAUUAUUCCCUUUCUUCUGGUAACUCCAGGUUUAGUUUCCCUUUCUUAUUAUAGUUCCUAAGAUGUAAACUUAGGUCAUCAAUCUGAGAAAUUUCUUCUUUUUAAAUACAUGCAUUUACAGCUGAAACUUUUCCUCAUACUCUACUUUAGCUGCAACUCUUAAAUUCAGCAUGUUGUUUUCAUUUUCUUUCUCCUGUAUUUUUCUGAUUUCCCAUGUGAUUUCUUCUUUGACCUAUGUCUUCCUUGACUGUAUUAAUUUCCAUAUAUUUGUGAAUUUUCUGGUUUUCCUUCUGUUGUUGAGUCCUAGUGUCAUUCUACUAUGAUUGAAAAAGACACUUUGUAUGAUUUUCAUCUUUUUAAUUUAUCAAGUCUUAUUUUGUGCCCUACCAAAGGUCUGUCCUGGAGAAUGUUUCAUGUGCACCCAAGAAAAAUGUGUAUUCUGCUUGUGUUGAGUGGGAUGUUCUGUAUACAUCUGUUAGGUUUAAUGGGUGUAUGGUGUUGUGUAAGUCCCUCUAUUUCAUUAUGAAUCAGUCCGUUUGUUCCAUUAUUGAAUGUGGAGUGUUGAAGUCUCCCAACUGUUAUUGUAGCCCUGUGUCUAAUUCUCCCUUCAAUUCUAUGUCUGCUUAUAUAUUUUGGGGCUCUUGUUUUGUGAAUAUAUCUUUGUAUUUAUCACAUUUUCUUGGUGAAUUGGCCCUUUUAUUCAAUAUAUAAUGGCUUUCUCCAUCUCUUACAACAGUUUUUGAUAUUUUGUCUGAUAUUUUUACAGCCACCCUGCUCUCUUUUGGUUACUAUUUGUGUGGAAUAUCUUUUUCCAUCUUUUCAUUUUCAAACUAUGUGUGUCCUUAUAUUCAAAGUGAGUCUCUUAUAGACGGUAAAUAGAUCAUUUUUUUAAUCCAUUCUGCUAGUCUGUGUCGUUUGAUUAGAAAGUUUAAUCCGUUUGCAUUAAAAGUAAUUACUAAUGAAGGACUUGUUAUUCUGCUGUUUUCUGUAUGUCUUAUACCUUUUUUGUUCUUCAUUUACUGCUUUACUGCCACCUUUUUUAUAGGGACAUCUUUUGAUUCUCUUCACAUUUCCUUUUGUGUAUAUUCUAAAGAUACUUGCUUUAUGGUUUCCAUGGUGAGUGCAUGUAACAUUCUUAAGUUAUAACAGUCUGAGUUGAUACUAACUUCAGUUGCAUACAAAAACUACUACUGGUCACACUAUCUCCCCCCAACCCAUUAUGAUAUUGUCACAAAUUACAUCUUUAUGUAUUAUAUGCCCAAUAACAGAUUUAUAGUUAUUUUUGUGCAUUUUUCUUUUAAAUUCUCUGCAGUUGCUCUUGAUUGAUCUUUGAGAAUCACUAACAGUUAGCAGGCAAGUGAAAGUAAAGGAGGAAACUAGAAAGAGAUCUUUUUUUCUUUAAGCCCCUUUUUGUAAAUUGACUUUUAUGACUUAUAUGAUGGCCCAAUCUGCCAUCAGAUUUGUAGACACUUACACUAUCCCCAUUUUUGCCUGCCUUAUCCCUUAGCUUCCUGUUUCAUAUGACCCGAGGCUAAAUUUAGGGCUAACCAGUAGGCCUUGCUGUAUGCUUCAACUCCCUCUGACUUUUCCUCCUUGCUAGGAGUUGAUUUGCCUGGUGGGUUCAUGGAAAACAGAGCCAAUGGUGUUUAGAAGGUGGCUUCUACUGCUAGUCUACUCUCUGCUCUCCCAUGAGGAGACAUGAAUAAGGAGCACCACUUGUGCUGUCAGUGGUGGCUCUAGAGAAGUGGGCAGAGCUAACCUUAGAAAAAAAUUGUGUCCCCGUUACCAUUGCUGAAAGUCCACCAAAAAUCUGCCUCCUUACUUAACAUAAUAAAUUUCAAGAGUAUAAUCCUAGCCUUGCAAAGUAGAAUGACUGGUUUGCUUGCUCUGAAAUCUGCAUUGUGAUUUCUAUAUGACCUGAAGAAGUCAUAAUAGUAACAUAAGUAGUAGUCAUGGUGUUAGCAAAUUAUGUGCCUGGUACUUUCUGUGCACCUUACAUAUAUUAAAUUAUUUAAUUCUCAUACUGACCUUAUAGAUAUGUGCUAUUAACUACAUGUUAUAAACAAAAAAAUUGAAAGGCUGCAAGGUUAAAUAACUGCUAAAAGCCAUAUGAGUAACAUGUGGCAGAGCCAAGAUUCAAACGUAGGCAUCCGGCCCCAAAUUCUGCACUUUUAACCACUUCACUCUAGAGCUAGCACUCAUGGUCCAGGAUCAUAGUGAGCUUUAUUCUUUGUCUAAAAGUUGAACCUAUUCCUUGUUAUUUGUAAUUAUUUAUGCCCCUGCUUCUUUCUGAAAUAUCUAAGACUUCUGUCAGAAAGGAUACAGGCAUUUCAGCUUGUUUUCCUAAUACACCUUGUUUUGUCCAUCUCUGGCCAUACUUGUGUACCAUUCCAGCUUUCUGUUUUUCCCUUAAAACCUGCUCAUUUCUUUUCACUUUUCUUUUUUUCCAGUCUGUCACCCAUUCGUGUUUUUACUUCUUUUCCUGUCUAGCUUAUUGCUCAUCAUAUAAAAUAUCACUUCAGAAUAUAAAAAUAUUCUUUUACCACAGCCUGGAAGCCAUGGCUACGUAAUCAUUCUCUGGCCUGCCCUGCAAACCACCAGCUUUCAGUCCUUCUUUUGCUUCAUUCAGGCCACAUCAUUUGUAGCCUAGACUGCUGUUAGUCUGAUUGGGGUGUCAUAGCAAAAUAAAAUCAGCAGGGUGGCUUAAACCACAAAAAUUAAUUUGCUCACAGUUCUAGAGGCUAGAAGUCUGAGAUUGGGGAGCCAGCAUGGUUGAGUUCUGGUGAAGGCCCUCUUCCUAGCUUGCAAAUGGCUGCCUUCUGGCCGUAUCUUCAGAUAGCAGAGACCUCUGAUUCCUUCUCUCCUUACAGAGCCACAGUGCUGUCAGAUUAGGGCCCUACCCUUAUGACUUGGUUUACUCUCAAUUACCUGUGCAGGUCCCAUCUCCAGAUGGAAUUGCAUUGGGGGUUAGGGCUUCAGCAUAUGAGUUUUGGAGGGGUGUGAGUUUAGUCUGUAGCUGCUGCCAUCAAGAUCUCUUGAUUGAUUCCCCCGCCUCCUUCAUUAUGACUCCGUUUAAUCCAUCUUCAGUAUUGCUAAAAUCAACCUUCUGAAAUUCAGAACUGGGGCACCUGGGUGGUUCAGUCAGUUAAGUCUCCAGCUUUGGCUCGGGUGAUGAUAACACAGUUCGUGACUUCGAGCCCUGCGUCAGGCUCUGUGCUGACAGCUCAGAGCCUGGAGACUGCUUCAGAUUUUGUGUCUCCCUCUUUCUCUGACCCCCCCCCCCCCCCCGGGCUCACACUCUGUCUCUCUCUCAAAAAUAAACAUUAAAAAAAAAUUGAAAAAUAAAAUUAAAUUCAGAACUGAUCACAACAUUCCCAGAGUAAAAUCCAUCAGUAGUGGGGCGCCUGGGUGGUUUAGUCGGUUAAGCAUCUGACUUCAGCUCAGGUCAUAAUCUCACAGUUUGUGAGUUCGGGCCUCGUGUUGGGCUCUGUGCUGACAGUUCGGAGCCUGGAGCCUGCUUCAGAUUCUCUGUCUCCCUCUCUCUGACCCUCCCCCAUUCAUGCUCUUUCUCUGUCUCAAAAAUAAACAUCAAAAGAAAAAAUUUUUUUUAAAUCCAUCAGCAGUUUUACUUGCUUUAUGCAGAAUCUGGUUCAUAUUUCUUAAUGUGUCAUAUAAGGCCCUGCAGGAUCUCCUUGCCUGGCUCAUUCCUUGGUGCCCUGGACUCCAGCUAAACUACUAGCAGUCAUGGUUUCCUAAAAGCUGUCUCAUUCUUCCUUGCCUUGUCCCAUGUACUUUCUCCUAUUGUCUCCCUUGCAAAAACCAACCCAGUUUCUAAGAGUCACCUCGUACAGCACUCCUCUGUGUCCUUACAUGCUUCUCCCUCUGCACAAGGAAGUUACUACUCUCUUUGUAUUCCCACAGCUCUCUGCACCUUCACCCUGACUGCUUAGUUCUUUACAAAUUAGCCUCCUCCUUUUGCUCCACUCAGUGUUAGAGUAAUGAUCUCAGACUUGCCAUCUUGCCAUAAGCAACUGGAAAUUGGCCAAAAUUAAUGAAACAACUGUUUUUCAGACUUGGACACCAGGCAGCACAUAGUUGUGAUCCCUGAGAGAAGGCAAAUAAAGUCCUACAAUUGCCCCCAACUUUCUGCUUGGAGAUAUUUUCUGGACUACAACACAGGGAGGGGGAGGGAACCUAAGCAGACCAGUCUUGCUGAGUUGAGGAGACAGAUAUCAGCAUUGGGGAAUGCUAGGACACUCGGAAAGUACAAGGCAGAGAACCAUAGAAGGACUAUUCAGAAGAGCUGUAGGGGUCUCUCUGAGUCUUUGAAGUCUAAGCCACACAUGUGUAGGGUAAAAUUCUGUGAGACCAAAGAAUAACUUCUGGGUAGUUGUAAACUUGCCCACAGAGUUAGGUAGCAAAAUAUUAUAAAAGUUAGACAUAGUCAUCAUAGAAUAUUUGGAAAAUAUAGAAUAGUCCAAAGAAACAUUAUUUAUAAUACUCAGUUCUGGGGUGCCUGGGUGGCUCAGUUGGUUAAGUGUCCAACUCUUGAUUUCAGGCUCAGGUCAUAAUCUCACAGUUGUGAUGAGAUUGAACCCUGCAUCAGGCUUCGUGCUGGGCAUGGAGCCUGCUUAAGAUUCUCUUUCUCUCUUUCUCUCUCUCUCUCUUUCUCCUCACCGCCCCCCUCGCCCCUCUCCCCUUGCAUGCGCACAUGCUCUUUCUCUCCCUGUUUCUCCCCACCCCCCCCAUAUAUAUGUAUAUAUAUAUAUACACGUAUAUAUACGUAUAUAUAUGUGUGUGUAUAUAUAACGUAUCAGAAGUAACUACCAUUACUAAUUUUUCAUUUGUUCUCUUCCCAACUCCUUUAAAAAUAUAUCUGAAUUAAAUGCACAUAUCUGCAAGAUAUACCAUGUCUACCUUUAUAACUUUAGAGUUCAUCCUGUUUAAAAAUGUUUCUCACAAAAUCAAUUUUCUUUUAAUUUUCUGACACACAUCUUUUAUUCUCUUAUAAUCAAACCCUUGUUCAAUGUUCAGUGUCAUUAUACAUUCACUGCAAUAAAGAAUUUUUGAAAUUGAAAAAAAACUCAUCAUAGAGCUUAUAUAAUUUUGAAUCCUUUUUUUCUUCCUCAGUGCACAUCAUGAAUAUUUGCUAAAUUUUUUGUAACAUAUAUAUUUUGCCUUCCCAUUAUGAGAACAAAUAUAUAUUCUGAUCUCUGGAAAAAAUAAUGUUAGUUACUCUAAUAAUAAGGGGUGGCAGUGGUGUGGCUGAUCUGAAAUCCCAUAUAUUUAAUGGGAAUAGAAGUGCAUUUAUAAUUUAAUAAUGGAUGUGUCUAGGUUUUUAAUGUCACAAAGUAAUAAAAUUAGUCAUUCUCCACUUUUCAUUUUUAGAGAGGUCCAGAGGAUGGUAUUAAAACUAUUAUGCUACUCUUUGUGUUACAAACUAGUAGUGGAGGCACUGUAAAUUCAAGACCAUACUUCAUUUUUUAAGGUCGAGCUUUGAAAAUGAAGGCACAGCCAGGGAGGCUAGCUAGCCUCCUCUAGGCAGGAUCCAUUUCUAAGGAAUGUGUAGGAUAUGGAAUCUUCUGAGUCAUCACAGCUCACAGUGCUUCCAUACAAAGCUUGAGAGCCUCUGUGAUAUUUGAGAACUACAUAUGGAGAUGAUGUAAUUUGCUAACAACUUCCAAUUUCUAAUAUUUAGAGACUGAGAUGCUAUGUUAGCCUCUCCUAGUACAUCUGAGACUUCUGAACCUCCCUAUCAGAGUCUUCUCCACAUCUGAUAUCCCCUGCUUAGGAACCCAACUCACUUUAUUUCUGAACCUCUCUAUCAGUCAUGUGCUCUCAAGUUUUAGCAUCGUAUUUUUCUCCUAGUUUUUUAUUUUAGUGUAUUAGAAAAUAUUUUUGCUUUUGUUGGCAAACAGGAAGCUUUUUGCAUUGAUUUACCUCCAUCUCAUCACUAGCUUGAGACAUUUACAGCAAAUAGGAGACUGUUUUGGAGUCAGAAAGACUCAGGUUCAAGUCCCACCUCUGCCACUUCCCAGAUACAGAACUUUGAGCAUGUUAAAUAUGCUUCAAGCCCUUUAAACUUCAGUUACUUCAUCAUACUGGCUAACACAUUCAUAGUAUUGACUAUGUAUUGAGCAUUGUGUUAACCACUUUCCUCUACUGCCUCCUUUACAUGUCCCAACAACCUGUGAGGUAAGUUCUGUUGUGUUCCCUCUUUUACAUAUGAGACACACUGAAGCUCUGAUUAAGUAACUUGCCUGACAUGUCUGGUAAGUAGCAGAGCUAGAAUUUGAAUCCAGGCAUUCUGUGUUCCCAUUAUUCCAAACUGAUUCAUUUAUAAAAUGGAGAUAAUUAUAACUUCCUCAAGGAUUGCUGAGGGAUUGAAUUAUAAAAUAUGCAGACAGUCCUUAGCACAUAAUAAAUCACUCAGUAGAUAGAAUCUGUAAGAAAUAGCAAUAAGUUUUUUUCCCUUUAUUCUAUUCCACACUUUUCCUUCACUGCUUUAGAUUAUUAAUAACAAGGGUAUUAUUUUCUUUCAGUCUCUUUGCUAUGGUGCUUCUGAAAAUCACUGUCUUCUACAGCAGAUCUGGAGAGUAGAUCAGAACAUUUUUCAGUGGGGAUGUUUUUUCAUGCAGCCCUAUGUGAUACACAAAUUUACAUAUGCCCAUGGUGGGCAUUAAUUACAUGGCUUCUAGUUCUAUCCCCACAAAUACCAUACAUCUGGGGCAAGGGGGAUAAAUAAGUGAUCUCAUUAGGUGGCAUCUUCUCCUUGCCUAAAACCUGGCAGAUCGUCUUAGCUAUAAAAACAGGCACACUGGAAUCCGGGUCUUAUAUCAGUAGAAGAAUACUUAAUUUUUCUCUGUAUUUAUUAUAGCUGUUCUAAAGAAAUUCCAAUGGUGGUUCUGCUGAAAUUUGUGUCAGAAGGAGACAAUAUCCCAGAUGCUCUAGGUCUUGUUGAAUAUCUUAAUGAAUGGCUUCAGAUAAUCAAACCAUGUGUAAGUUUUACUACAUUUAAGCCUCUGGUUUCUCCAGUUAUGUAUUUGUAAACUUGUAUUUUAUAUUCUAUAUAAGUAGGCCAAAUAAGUGAAAAUUUGAUACAUCUUUAUGUAAAAUUUAGUUUAGCUCAGCUUUUGAAAAGAUAAGAGAGCAUUUAACCAACCAGUUAUCUACAGUUGUUUCAUUAAAGCUGAUUUUCCAAAAAAGGAAAACUUUUAAGUACUUCAUGGUAUUAAUUGGUCACAUUGCAUUAAUCAUAUCAGACAUAUUUUUACAAGAAUAAACAAAUUUCUUUCAAAUUCAGGAUUUUUUUUUUUCAGGAAAGCAAAAGAUAUUUAUGUAAGCAAUACUGUAACUAUUAAAUACAUAUUAUAAUUAAAAUACUUUUCUCUGUUAUAAGAGCAUUACACCCAGGGAAAUCAGUUAGCCUUUAGGCAUAAUAGAAGCACUGUAAGGCUGCUUUAUAUGAUAGGUACUGUUUUUUAAUUCAUGCUUUUGCUAGGAACAAAUUGAUACAAAUCACACAGCACUGAUUUUUUUUUAUUUUUUUACCUCAGUUCCCUUCAAAUUUGAUUUUACUGGAUGGACUUCACCCAUAGCCUUUCUGGCAUAUCUUUAUGAUUUGGAACUUAAGGAAAUCUAUCUUCAGUUAAUAUAGAGACAUGGAAAUUUAUUGCUUUGUUUUUACUUACAGUGAAACACAACUAAAAGUGUCAAAGUCAAAAAGAGCAGAAAAAAAAGAAACUAGAAAAGGGGUCUUAUGCUACUUAAAUGUGAAAAGGGGUUUGGUGGUAAAGUUGAAGGAUUAAACUUUUUUUUUUUUUUUUCAGUUACAGUGUGAUGACCCCACAGCAUCUGCCUUGCAGUGGAAAAUGCCAAGUUCAUGGAGAUUACUCUUUGGCAGUGGUCUUCCUCCUGCGCUUUUUUGAUCUGUUUUCAGUUUUAUAACUUAUGUCUCAAGGUACUUAUUACCAACACAACUGUUAAACAAAUAUUAUCUGAGAAUGUAUUAGGAAAUAAAUCUUUUCACAGAAAAUCUCAAAAAAAAAAAUGGAUUAACAAAAAGUUGUUUUGCCAUGCAUUUCAGUAUUUACAACAAAUGUAAAUUUUGUACAAUAAAAUAUUUCCUAAGUAA